GAUGAACGCUGGCGGCGUGCUUAACACAUGCAAGUCGAACGGAAAGGCCCAAGCUUGCUUGGGUACUCGAGUGGCGAACGGGUGAGUAACACGUGGGUGAUCUGCCCUGCACUUCGGGAUAAGCCUGGGAAACUGGGUCUAAUACCGGAUAGGACGAUGGUUUGGAUGCCAUUGUGGAAAGUUUUUUCGGUGUGGGAUGAGCUCGCGGCCUAUCCGCUUGUUGGUGGGGUAAUGGCCUACCAAGGCGUCGCCGGGUAGCCGGCCUGAGAGGGUGUACGGCCACAGUGGGACUGAGAGACGGCCCAGACGCCGACGGGAGGCAGCAGGGGGGAAGAGUGCACAAGGGGCGCAAGCCGGAUGCAGCGACGCCGCGGGGGGGAGGACGGCCUUCGGGUUGGAAACGCCGUUCGCGAGGGACGAAGCGUUUUGUGACGGUACCUGGAGAAGAAGCACCGGCUAACUACGUG
rnacentral:rRNA from 1 species